UCCCUACUGGCUCACAUGGUAAAGAAUCUGCCUGCAAUGCAGAAGACCUAGGUUUGAUCCCUGGGUUGGGAA
rnacentral:tRNA from 1 species